rnacentral:lncRNA from 1 species
GCGCCCUCCUCUCUUCUCCCGCGGCCUCCCCCCUACCCCCUUUCCACCGCCCAGCAGCGCCCGCCGUCUCCCCGAACCCUAGCUCCGCCGCCGCGGAGGGCUACCACCUCCCCGACCUCACCGUCCUCGGCCGCCACCUCAAGUCCCCCUGUAAGACCCACGCCGUCCUCGUCCUCUCCACCGGCGGCGCCCCUUCCUCU